CAGCAGUCAAAAAUAUUAGUCAAUGCUCGCAAGAGUGAACUAGCUAACUGAAAUUCUUGAUGUGUCAUCAAGGAUAACGUAAGGGAAAAUAAUGAUAUUACCUUACUAUUAGUGUCGUCCAAGUGCUCGUGCCAGAAGACUCGGUAAGGCGAGAGACGCAAACGUUAUUCGUCUUGAUCAGGCGUAAAGGGUAUGUAGGCGGUUUUAAGAAUUCAAAAUUAAGUUUAUUAAUUAUGAUACUAACUAAACAAAAGUGUUAUAAUUUUAAAAACAGAAUCAAUUAAAGCUAGAAUCUAACAGAGGUUAAAACAAUACUUAUGGUAGGUGUACCAACCUAAGAUAAUAAGUAGAGUUUUAAGGGCGAAGGCAUUUACCCACUAAAGAUUGACGCUGAGAAACGAAGGUGAGGAAAGAAAAAAGGAUUAGAGACCCUUGUAUCCCUCACUGUCAACGAUGAAUGGUAGUUACUAGUAAGAAAUAAACUAGAGGCGAUGUUAACACGUAAACCAUUCCGCCUUGUGAGUACGACUGCAAAGUGAAAACAAAAAACUCAAGCAGUCAAGAAUGUAAAGC
rnacentral:rRNA from 1 species